GAAAAGCAUACAAGCAAGAGGAUGAUGAUGAUGAUGAUGAAGAUUAUCCAGUAUAAAAGAAGCAGGCUACCUGAAGCAAUGCUCUGCCCUGGUCUAAAACUGAAUUCUUUGAGAACAGCAGGAAGAAAGGAUCAGGGAGCAAAUGCAAGCCCCGGUGGCCUUGCUACAUCUGGUAUACUGGAUAUUCUUUGUAAGAAAUGGAGGAGACAGCUGGAGACCUCUGUGUGAGGUCACUCAAGGAAGGCUUCAGGAGACUGGAGACAGGAUAAUCCACGGAGAUGAAGAAACUGAAGCUGACCAAAAUAGCCACAGUCUCCUCAGUCUUGUCUUUCUGUUUCUGGGGGUAUUUUUUGCCAUCAUGAAGAUCGGUGUGGAAAUUGAAUUCAGUUCUGUGUUUAGGAAGAAAACAAUUAAGUUUAUACACUUAAAACCUUUCCAUGAACCGUUUUCUGAAAAACCAAAGCCAUCUAAUGCUAAGAACUAUCUGGGAGAGAGUCAAACAAAGCAUGCAGCCUCUGGCACUGCCUUUUUUUAGAGAACUGAACUGUUCUUAGAAACUUAGCAAAUAGGGGUACCUCUUUACAGUAGUUUGGAAAUACUCUGCACAUACACACAGGCACACACU
rnacentral:lncRNA from 10 species